GACCUCAAAUCAGGUAGGACUACCCGCUGAACUUAAGCAUAUCAAUAAGCGGAGGAAAAGAAACUAACAAGGAUUCCCCUAGUAACUGCGAGUGAAGCGGGAAAAGCUCAAAUUUAAAAUCUGGCGGUCUUUGGCCGUCCGAGUUGUAAUCUAGAGAAGUGUUAUCCGCGCUGGACCGUGUACAAGUCUCCUGGAAUGGAGCGUCAUAGAGGGUGAGAAUCCCGUCUUUGACACGGACUGCCAGGGCUUUGUGAUGCGCUCUCAAAGAGUCGAGUUGUUUGGGAAUGCAGCUCAAAAUGGGUGGUAAAUUCCAUCUAAAGCUAAAUAUUGGCGAGAGACCGAUAGCGAACAAGUACCGUGAGGGAAAGAUGAAAAGAACUUUGGAAAGAGAGUUAAACAGUACGUGAAAUUGCUGAAAGGGAAACGCUUGAAGUCAGUCGCGUUGUCCGGGGAUCAACCUUGCUUUUGCUGGGUGUACUUUCCGGUCGACGGGUCAGCAUCAAUUUUGACCGUUGGAUAAAGGCUUUGGGAAUGUGGCUUCCUCGGAAGUGUUAUAGCCCUUGGUCGCAUACAACGGUUGGGAUUGAGGAACUCAGCACGCCGAAAGGCCGGGUACUUGUACCACGUUCGUGCUUAGGAUGCUGGCAUAAUGGCUUUAAUCGACCCGUCUUGAAACACGGACCAAGGAGUCUAACAUGCCUGCGAGUGUUUGGGUGGAAAACCCGAGCGCGUAAUGAAAGUGAAAGUUGAGAUCCCUGUCGCGGGGAGCAUCGACGCCCGGACCAGACCUUUUGUGACGGAUCCGCGGUAGAGCAUGUAUGUUGGGACCCGAAAGAUGGUGAACUAUGCCUGAAUAGGGUGAAGCCAGAGGAAACUCUGGUGGAGGCUCGUAGCGAUUCUGACGUGCAAAUCGAUCGUCAAAUUUGGGUAUAGGGGCGAAAGACUAAUCGAACCAUCUAGUAGCUGGUUCCU
rnacentral:rRNA from 1 species